rnacentral:tRNA from 1 species
GCCCCCGUAUCCCAACUUGGCAGAGGAAGGCCCCUUAAAAGGGUCUCAGUGUGGGUUCGAUCCCCACCGGGGGCACCG